CGAUGACUGCAACAGGAUUCAUGGGGCUCUCCAGAGUACUGUUUCCAGUGGUGUGCAGAUAAUUCCCACUUUGUUCUCAAAUAUAAUCAGAAAAAAGAACUUAGAAAAGGAAUUAUGUAUUGAUGUAGCUGAGGUGUCGAAUGGAGAAUACUGAGUGGAAAAAGCCGUUAUCCUGAACACUUGCCGUUACUUUCAAGUGCAGCUGCAAUAUUUCGAGAAUGUUUUGAUCCUAUUGUUGCUAAAUCUGGUCGUGAUUUGAUUCCUGUCAUGGUCUAUGGGAGAAAUAUAUCUGGACAAGAGUUUGGUGGAAUGUAUUGUGUGGUUUUGAUGGUCAGGUCUGUUGUCGUAUCAGCUGGGCUUCUUAGGAUAUUCGGCUGGGAGGUUGCUGAGCUCCCUAUAGUAGCUACAAGCAGAAAAUAUCAAG